rnacentral:rRNA from 1 species
AUCGAACGCUGGCGGCAUGCCUUACACAUGCAAGUCGAACGGUAACAGGUCUUCGGAUGCUGACGAGUGGCGAACGGGUGAGUAAUACAUCGGAACGUGCCCGAUCGUGGGGGAUAACGAAGCGAAAGCUUUGCUAAUACCGCAUAAGAUCUACGGAUGAAAGCAGGGGACCGCAAGGCCUUGCGCGAACGGAGCGGCCGAUGGCAGAUUAGGUAGUUGGUGGGAUAAAAGCUUACCAAGCCGACGAUCUGUAGCUGGUCUGAGAGGACGACCAGCCACACUGGGACUGGGACACGGCCCAGACUCCUACGGGAGGCAGCAGUGGGGAAUUUUGGACAAUGGGCGCAAGCCUGAUCCAGCCAUGCCGCGUGUCUGAAGAAGGCCUUCGGGUUGUAAAGGACUUUUGUCCGGGAGCAAAUGCCUGGUGUUAAUAGCAUCGGGAGCUGAGAGUACCGGAAGAAUAAGCACCGGCUAACUACGUGCCAGCAGCCGCCGUAAAAC